rnacentral:tRNA from 1 species
GGGAAGGUGGUUCAGUGGUAGAGUGCUUGCCUUGCAUGCAUGAGGCCCUGGGUUCGAUUCCUCAGCUCCA